AUUGAACGCUGGCGGCAGGCUUAACACAUGCAAGUCGAGCGGGGGAAGGUAGCUUGCUACUGGACCUAGCGGCGGACGGGUGAGUAAUGCUUAGGAAUCUGCCUAUUAGUGGGGGACAACAUCUCGAAAGGGAUGCUAAUACCGCAUACGUCCUACGGGAGAAAGCAGGGGAUCUUCGGACCUUGCGCUAAUAGAUGAGCCUAAGUCGGAUUAGCUAGUUGGUGGGGUAAAGGCCUACCAAGGCGACGAUCUGUAGCGGGUCUGAGAGGAUGAUCCGCCAUACUGGGACUGAGACACGGCCCAGACUCCUACGGGAGGCAGCAGUGGGGAAUAUUGGACAAUGGGGGGAACCCUGAUCCAGCCAUGCCGCGUGUGUGAAGAAGGCCUUAUGGUUGUAAAGCACUUUAAGCGAGGAGGAGGCUACUUUAGUUAAUACCUAGAGAUAGUGGACGUUACUCGCAGAAUAAGCACCGGCUAACUCAGUGCCAGCAGCCGCGGUAA
rnacentral:rRNA from 1 species